UACGUAGGGACCAAGCGUUGUUCGGAUUUACUGGGCGUAAAGGGCGCGUAGGCGGCGUGGUAAGUCACUUGUGAAAUCUCCGAGCUUAACUCGGAAAGGUCAACUGAUACUGUGCGGCUAGAGUGCGGAAGGGGCUACUGGAAUUCUCGGUGUAGCGGUGAAAUGCGUAGAUAUCGAGAGGAACACCUGCGGCGAAGGCGGGUAGCUGGGCCGAACACUGACGC
rnacentral:rRNA from 1 species